UACGUAGGGUGCAAGCGUUGUCCGGAAUUACUGGGCGUAAAGGGCUCGUAGGCGGCCAACUAAGUCGGACGUGAAAUCCCUCGGCUUAACCGGGGAACUGCGUCCGAUACUGGAUGGCUUGAGUUUGGGAGAGGGAUGCGGAAUUCCAGGUGUAGCGGUGAAAUGCGUAGAUAUCUGGAGGAACACCGGUGGCGAAGGCGGCAUCCUGGACCAACACUGACGCUGAGGAGCGAAAGCCAGGGGAGCAAACGGG
rnacentral:rRNA from 1 species